rnacentral:lncRNA from 1 species
GCCAGAGAGGCAGUAGAAAGUAUAAGGUAUGUCAAUAAGUGAAUGCUUAGCAAGCAAACAGGGCAAAGAGACCUAGAGAGUUUGGUGAAAAGUCGAAGUGAACUUCACUGAGAUAAAACCAGAAAAAUAUAAUCACAAGUAUCUCCUAGUGCUUGUAGAUACUUUUUCAGGAAUAGAUAGAAGCUUUCCUCACCAAACAAGAGACGGCCUCUGCAAUCAUCAAGAAGAUACUGGAAGAAAUCUUCCUCCGAUUUGGAAUGCCCAAGGUAAUCUGGUCAGACAACGGCCCUACUUUCGUUGCCAAGGUAAGCCAGGGUGUGGCCAAGUAUUUAGAGGUCAAUUGGAAAUUACAUUGUAUUUACAGACCUCAAAGUUCAGGACAGGUAGGGUAAAUAAAUAGAACUCUAAAAGAGACCCUGACCAAAUUAACCAUGGAGACUGGCACAGACUGGGUGACACUCCUUCCCUCUUGCUCUCUUCAGAGCAAGAAAUACCCCUUCCAGAUUCAGCCUUACCCCCUUUGAGAUCUUAUAUGGGGCCUCAGCCCCCCUGACUGUAUUAGAUGAUGUUACUGAACCAACAUGUCAUAGUGCCAUAGUAAUAAUGAUUUGUGUGCCAGGCUAAAAGACCUACAGGUGAUACAGAAAGAAAUCUGCUCACAGCUGACAGCAGCCUAUGCCCCGGAGACCCCUGAGACAUCCCAUCAGUUCCAGGUUGCAGCUACACUGAGUCCAGACACUCGAGCCUCACUGGAAAGGACUGUACCUGGUGCUGCUGACCACCCUGACAGCUGUCAAUUCUCAGCCCUCACCAGCCGUGUACUAGCUGUUGGGGCUGAGAGCUGGGACCUAGAGGGAAACUCAGUCAUGUUUGUCCUGGGUUCUGUCAAGAUAGGUGUGGGAUAGGCUUGAUUUCCAUUACAAAUGAUGUAACAUUGCAUAUGUUAGUACUCUUAACACUUCUUGGGACUGUGCCUCAGGGAUCACAGUCCGUAUAAGCUUAGAAGUUCUAAAAGCUAGUCAUGACCUUGGUGGAUAGGCUUGGAUAGUGUCCAGGUUAGAAUCCUCAUGUUAAGACUACAAUACCAAGCUGUUAUGCUAGAUGAAG